AGAGAGGAGGGGAGGGGGGGAAGCGCCUCAUUCCUUCUUCCACCGCCAUACUGUAUUUUAUAGUAACUCAUUUUUAUUCCUCUCUUUUACUCCCGCUCGUGGAAGGUUUUCCUGGAGAAUGAAGUGCGGUUUGGUUUCCUUGUCAACGGAAGAUGAAGUGAACAACUGAACAUCUCCCCAGUGCAGACUUGCUGGACCUUCCCUCCUGCUCUGGACCUCUCCCCUGGCGUCGGCACAGCUUAGAAGGAUGAAAGAAGAGGAAGCAAUAGGAGAGGGAUGGAAGAGGGGAGAGGAGUAAAAGGAGGAGGAGGGCAGCAAUUGAAAUGGAGAAAAAUUCAACAGCGGUUCAGUUAAGGCUUAAAUAAUGAAAUGUUUAUAAGAUCCCCUCCUACUGACCUUUCUGGGUCAUUGCCCUCUCCCUCUCUGUCACCUUAGUUUUCAUCAGCACUUCAGCCACAGCAGCCUCGCUUUUAAUUUUCGCUUGUUAUUAUCAACAACAAAACAAACAAACAAUCCCAGAAUGCAGCACCCUGCUUACAGACCUAAUUUCCAGGGUGGUGGGGUUUUUAUUUUUGUUUUUUAGAUGAAAUACGGUUACAUUGUUAAGUAUGCAAGUCAGUAGGAGUACUGGCAUGAUUAAGGACUAUUUCUGUGAGUUACGUUGGGACUAGAUUUGCAGUUAGGCAGUCCUAACUUGCAUCACUGUUGCAAUGGCCCCUUAUGUGCCAUUGCAGGGGUGCAGAACUGCUGGGCUGAAAGGAUUCCACAGCCAUGCCUCCUCCCAUGCUGAUGUGCCCCUUCCUCUUCAGGCCCACCCCUAUCUGGAAUGCCUCCUGCAUAGUAGGGCUGCUGCAGGAGGAAUCACAAUAUUAGUAGAGACAGUACUCGGCCUGGAGGACUCCUAAAAUGGAUAUUUCCUGAGUGGGGGGAAAGGGGACUUACAUCUGUCCUAUCCCUCCUUUGCACCAGACUAUCUAGCAUAAAGGGGCCAUAGGGCAGUCAUUGAAUGGGUACAAAGGCAACUGACAGUAGCAAGUUUGCAGGCGUAAGCCUUUAUACUGGAAGUGGUAAAAAAUUCCUGAUGUUGUAUUUCAAAUAAAAAUUGAACAUGGUUGUAAGUGAAGUUUUUUUGUUUUUCACAUCUAGCCCAACAGGUGCUGGUGGAACUGGUCCAGAGCAGAAUGGUCAGGUCUGAAAGCCUAAAAGGAAUGUUCAUGACCUAAGCAAACAAUCUUUUUAAUAAUAAUGCGCGAGCACACACACAUAUACACAUACACACUUGUUAAAUAAAAGUUUGAGGGAAUAGUAACUUCUUUUGGUGAAUUUGUUAAAAUAUUAUUAUUUAAAUAAACUUUUUCAUUUUAUAAUUUCUCUCCACUUACAAUGUAAACAUGGACUCUUGUCUCAUA